CACAUACUGGUGUUAUACGUGUUUCGACUAUGAUCUACCUGUCAAACAUCGCUUUGUUUUAUACCAAUGUCGUCAUAACAUUUCUCCAUUUGACUGAAACAACACAUUCCUAUGUUAAUGUUGCCUUGUAUAAACCAGCAUACCAAAAGCACCCGGCGUACCCUGGCUAUGACAAAUAUGACGCCAGUUGCCCUACAAGUGGAUAUUAUGGAUCCAACUGCUCCAUCCCCUGUCCAGACGUAAACUGUCGGUUCUGUCACAUAGAGACGGGCACCUGCCAAGGCUGUAAACCUGGAUAUCAAGGUCAACGUUGUGAAUUAGAUUGCACAGUUGGUUUUCAUGGAGAAGACUGUAAUAAGAAAUGUGGACAGUGUGUGGAUGGAAUACCAUGUAAUGUGUCAUCUGGUGUUUGUCCAUCGGGGUGCCAAAACUACUGGGUAGGACCUAUGUGUACAGAAUGUUUGCCAUACAAGUACGGUCCAAAUUGUUCGUUGGACUGUGGUCAUUGUAAAGAUGCUGGUCCAUGUUCUGGGGUGACUGGACAAUGUGCAGAUGGAUGUCAACAAGGCGAAGGGAUAUCGACACUAUAUCUCUAUGCCAUCAUAGGUGCUCUCGCCAUGUUUCUAUUAGUAGCCAUUGCUGUAAUUUUCCUCAAGGUAGGACGGAAGUCUACAAAUCCUUACCAUAAACAUCCCACUGACGACGCCAAGCCAAACCUCCAGAACGCUUCGAACAAUUAUGACAGCCUAAAACGACCCGGGGGAAUGAAUAUUUACUUCUCAUUGGAACCGAAAAAACAAGAGUCGCAUUAUGAAGACAUUAACAUAACUAUAUGAGAUCACAUUUAUAUAAACAUCGAACU
rnacentral:sRNA from 1 species